rnacentral:lncRNA from 1 species
AUCGGGAUCAGCGCUCAGCCGGCUGUGUCGAAACCCAUCUCAGGUUUCGGGGCUUCCAGCAGCUGAUGCGGUUCCCAGCCCUCCCCGGGGCACAGGCGGCGGAUUUUGCUUCUGCGCUAGCCCGUGGGCAGCAGCGCCUUGCUGACGGUGGCCCUGGGCGGAGAUGUCUCUUGGGGUGAUGUGAAAAAUUACACUAUUGGAAAAAAGUCGAGUGGGGCCAGAUCUGGGGUUUCUGAGCAUCACUGGGGCUGGAGAGGGGACGCCGGGGCGCUCAGGCGAUCGCUUGAGGAGCCGGCAGUUUUGGGAAGCUCCCGAGACAGUCGCGGGGUGGCACCUUGCUCGUUUUACUUUUCCUCCCUUUCCCCCCCGCCGCCCCGUCCUCUCUUGCAGCUGUCUGGGGGAAGACUCUGUCCGUGCCAUCCGACCGCCUCCGUCCGAAGCUUGCCUGUCCCUCUCUGGCCUCCCUUCCUGUUGCGCGAGCAAAGGAUGCACUCGCAGCGCGAGCUCACUCCCCCACUCUGCACUCUGAACCAACCGUUGCCAUUCGCCAACUUCCGCUUUUUCCAAAAAAAAACAAGAAAGAAAAGGAUCUGAACGGCGGUGACCGCCCGAGACUUCAGGGCUGGGGGAAUGGGUCGCGCGGCGCCUGGCGGAGGGUCCCCCCGGCCUCCUCGCCCCCUUUGCUCCUCUUUCCUGCGUUUUUCGGUGGGACCGCGGAUGCGACGGCUCCUACGUGUCCCUCUCCCGGGAAGCAGCCGGCUGGAGAUGGAGCCCAAAGUUUCCUGCAUUUUUCCGUUCGCCCUCCCUUCUCUCUACGAGCUCAGCUAAGGAUCGCUCAGCCCAAGCCCCGAGCCAGACCGAACCCCGUCCUGGCUCUGUUUCCCGUGGACGUCCGCGCAGGUUUUACCGGCUUGGCCUUCGUCCUGGGCAGAGCUAGGAAACGGCCCCUGCCCAGAACUCGGGAAUUGGCGUUUUUCCCUUUUCUUACCGCAUGAAAAGUGUUAAUGGAGCUGACAGUUGGGUUUUGCUUUCGAACCGGCUCCGUUUUCUUUUCUUCCGCAAGCCGUGGGAAUGUCGCGUUUCCGCCGGGCAGCGGCGGGGGGGGGC